GUUUUUUCACCACUUGUAGGCAAUGGUGAUUUUCACUUACAUAGAGUACUAAUUUGAUUAAGGAAAAAUCAUGUUCAUUCAUAAUUUUCAUUUUAAAAGUGUAUUCAUUCCUUCUGCAAAUCCAUACUGUCAUGCCUCUUCCCCAAUAUCGUCAACGCGAAUAGUUCGUUAGUCGAAAAUACUGAAUAAUUAAACAAACUAAAUGGCGUCACUGGUGGUUCUUUUUUCCACUCCGCUAAACUGUCAUCUCAAACAAAAACAAAUGGAUCAUACAACUGCUAUGAAUACAUUCGACUCGUUUGCUUCCAUCAAUCGGUAAGUGAGAAAGAUGAUUUCUCCCAUCACCACAGUGCGGAUUUCCACUUCUAUCACAGCAGCCAACAACAUCCGUUUUCCUGCUGCAGUAACCUCCAACCCCUGUUGGCAAUGCCGGGGAACAGCAUUAACAGCAGCAGCAGCAGCAGAAUUUGACCAUGGUAUGGUAUUGCGAAGAACUUUCCCCAUUAGAGGUUCCGUGCUUCGCGCACAUUCAAAAAUCCUCUUCAGACACGAAAACUCAACGACAAGGAGGUAUUUAUCAACUUGCUCAGCUGAAUUACCACCCGGAGGAACCCGAAUGCACUGAUUCCGUUGUAUAGUAGAAUGAAAAUAGGCGAGGUAAGCGAACGUAAUCGCAUGAUAUUUUAAUGUUCGCAUUUUUAUCCGGAUCAUACAACUGCUAUGAAUACAUCCGACUCAAUCAAUCGGCGAAUGAGAAAGAUGAUUUCCCUCAUCACCAUAUUGCUUAUUUCCACUUCUGUCACACCAGCCAACAGCAUCAGCUUUCCCGCAGCAGUAUCCUUUAAGUCCAGGGUGCUAUUCCGGGGAACAGCAUCAACAGCAACAGCAGCAGGACCUGGCCAUAGUAUUUCGGGCAAUUUUCCCCAUCGGAGAUCCCGUGCUUCACGCACAUUGAAGAAUCCUCCUCAGCCACAUAUCUGUGUCAUCGAGGGCAAAGAGGUAUUCAUCAAUGUACUCAGUCGGAUUUGAAUCGUCAAUCUAGACAACCCGGAUGCACCGAUUCCAUUAUAUACCUUAUUUUUAUUAUACAUGGAUUUUUAUUAUUUUUU